UACGUAGGGUGCAAGCGUUGUCCGGAAUUAUUGGGCGUAAAGAGCUCGUAGGCGGUGUGUCACGUCGGCCGUGAAAACCUGCAGCUUAACUGUGGGCGUGCGGUCGAUACGGGCAUCACUGGAGUUCGGCAGGGGAGACUGGAAUUCCUGGUGUAGCGGUGAAAUGCGCAGAUAUCAGGAGGAACACCGGUGGCGAAGGCGCACAUCUGGCCCGAUACUGACGCUGAGGCGCGAAAGCUAGGGGAGCAAACGGG
rnacentral:rRNA from 1 species